rnacentral:lncRNA from 1 species
GACCUGCUGACUCAGGUCUCCCCUGUUUAUUUUUCAAUAGAAUCUCUGUCAAAGUCAUUUUGAACCUUAAAUGAUUUGUUUUCUUCUUAUAAAGCUUAGAAAAUAAUAACAAUAUUUAUCACCUGAACUAUUGUGAUUUUAACAUACUUUGAAUUAUUUUCUAAUUAGACUCCUUAAUAAAUUGUCUGGAAAAUACAGAUCCACUAAAGGGAUUGUGUCAUGGGUUCUCUGAGUUACUCAAAUCUGCUCCACAAUUUCAUAUUUGCUGACCUUUCUCACCUUUUACGAAUCCUCAAGACAUCAUUUGCAAAACGUGGCAUUUCAGAUAAACUCAACCUUCAGCGCGUACUCAGGGACCAUGCAGAUGAUGUGUGACUCCCGCCCGGCUCUCCGUCACUGAUGAGGACACUUGACAUUUCAUCAAGGAGGCAUUUGAGAACCAGGUAGGAGCUCGCCAGAAACGUAAGGGCCAUCAGGCGUUGAGAAAGCCACUUGCAAUUGAUUGGUCCCACUAAACAGCUUCGGUUCCAGGCUCCUGACAGGACCUGGGCAUUUCCGAUUGCUUCCUUCAUUCAAUUUUUCUGUGACAGUUUUCAGUUUUAUUUUGAGGAAAAGAAUAUCUUUCUUAAAAGACUGACUUAAGUUAAAUUUCUCAACACACUGUCACCUCUCUGCUAGCGCACUAUUCAAAUUUGCUGGUGUUCUGAUUCAUAACAGGGAGGAAACAUCUUUAUAGUUCGAUAAUAACUUCAGGAGUCAUUGAAAAAUCAUCCCAGUAUUUCUCCUUAAUAUUUGGGGUGUUGUGGAAGGAAGC